CAGCCGCCGCGGUAAUACGUAGGGUGCGGGCGUUAAUCGGAAUUACUGGGCGUAAAGCGUGCGCAGGCGGUUUUGUAAGACAGAUGUGAAAUCCCCGGGCUCAACCUGGGAACUGCAUUCGUGACUGGCAAGCUAGAGUGCGGCAGAGGGGGGUGGAAUUCCGCGUGUAGCAGUGAAAUGCGUAGAUAUGCGGAGGAACACCGAUGGCGAAGGCAGCCCCCUGGGCCAACACUGACGCUCAUGCACGAAAGCGUGGGGAGCAAACAGGAUUAGAUACCCCGGUAGUCCCUGUCUCUUAUAC
rnacentral:rRNA from 1 species